UUAUAUCCCUGGCAGGGGAGACACUAUAAUCAUGAAAGUGGUUUUCCCAGGACUAGCCUUAUCCAUUCCACUCCGGAUGUGCUCCCCACUGCGAUUUCCCCAAAUAUGGGAAACUCCACUGCGCAGUUUGUGGUAGAAGGAGAAUGCAUUUAUGCUCUCCCCUG